UUUAAUACCUGCCAAGGGAGAUACCAUAAUCAUGAAGUUAUUUUUCCCCAAAGCAAGGCUCAUCCACUAUGGUGUGGAUGUGCUACCUCCCGUAAUUUCUCCAAAUGUGGAAAACUUGGCAUAAUUUGUGGUAGUGGGGGACUGCAUUUUCAUGCUCAAACUCCCU
ensembl:snRNA U1 U1 spliceosomal RNA